CCUACGGGUGGCAGCAGUGAGGAAUAUUGGUCAAUGGACGAGAGUCUGAACCAGCCAAGUAGCGUGAAGGAUGACUGCCCUAUGGGUUGUAAACUUCUUUUAUAUGGGAAUAAAAUGUUCCACGUGUGGGAUUUUGUAUGUACCAUAUGAAUAAGGAUCGGCUAACCCCGUGCCAGCAGCCGCGGUAAUACGGAGGAUCCGAGCGUUAUCCGGAUCGAAUGGGUUUAAAGGGAGCGUAGGUGGAUUGUUAAGUCAGUUGUGAAAGUUUGGGGCUCAACCGUAAAAUUGCAGUUGAAACUGGCAGUCUUGAGUACAGUAGAGGUGGGCGGAAUUCGUGGUGUAGCGGUGAAAUGCUUAGAUAUCACGAAGAACUCCGAUUGCGAAGGCAGUUCACUGGACUGCAACUGACGCUGAGGCGCGAAAGUGUGGGUAUCAAACAGGAUUAGAUACCCUUGUAGUC
rnacentral:rRNA from 1 species